rnacentral:rRNA from 1 species
GCGAGUGAAGCGGUAACAGCUCAAAUUUGAAAGCUAGCUCUUUUAGGGUUCGCAUUGUAAUUUGUAGAAGAUGCUUCGGGUGUGGCCCCGGUCUAAGUUCCUUGGAACAGGACGUCAUAGAGGGUGAGAAUCCCGUAUGUGACUGGGUGCUUUCGCUCAUGUGAAGCUCUUUCGACGAGUCGAGUUGUUUGGGAAUGCAGCUCAAAAUGGGUGGUAAAUUUCAUCUAAAGCUAAAUAUUGGCCAGAGACCGAUAGCGCACAAGUAGAGUGAUCGAAAGAUGAAAAGCACUUUGGAAAGAGAGUUAAACAGUACGUGAAAUUGUUGAAAGGGAAGCGCUUGCAACCAGACUUGCGCGCUGAUGAUCAUCCGGGCUUCUGCCCGGUGCACUCGUCUGCGCUCAGGCCAGCAUCGGUUUUGGUGGUGGGAUAAAGGCCUUGGGAAUGUAGCUUCUUUCGGGGAGUGUUAUAGCCCUCGGUGCAAUGCCGCCUACCGGGACCGAGGACCGCGCU